AGCCGCUGGUGAAUAACAAGGAGAAAUGGGAACUUUGUCUCGCUGGCUGCGGUGGGACAGGGGACCCCUCACCCCAAAAGUGGCCGGCUGUACUGCUUCCCUCUCUGCAGAGCUCCUGGGGCUGGGCGGGCAGUGUACAGGGGUGGUUUCAUGACUGAGCCUCGAAGCGUGGCCCACAGCCUGUGACUGAACUCCAGGAAAGGGCUGAAAUUACCUCUGAGGGGAUUAAGUUACGUCAGCUCCACCACUGUGGCCCCGCUGUGGGAAAGAGGUUUGUCUUCUGGCACCUGACACUUCCCCAGGCCAGGGUUCCACCUGCAGAGCGCUGUACCCCAUGGGGUCAGAGCACCACCAGCACUGGAAAUUCGGGCACAGCAAAGAGAAAAGAGGGAUCCCCUUCAAAACCUUGCAGCGUUCAAGUCAGAAGGAACAUAAUCAUGUGGAUUAUGAACACAGAGACAGGGACAUCAGUGCAGGGGUCCAGCCAAAGGCCACCAGAAACCACGGAUGGCUCUGCUCAGAUCCCAACAGAGAGGAGAAGCGCCUCCCAGAAUUUCCCAGUCGGGCAGAGGACACACCUUGUGCUCCCGUGGGCUCCCGCAGGAACUGAAAUGAACUGGAGAGGCGGCUCCACCCUCCCACACCUCAUUUCACUUGUCCCAGUCUGAGCCCCACGGGAAGACGUCCUCCAGCUCCCAGGCCUUCCUCAGCCCCAGCAGUCACCCGGGGAGUGUGGCGUGACCCAGUGGCUGCAACGUUAAAGGCAUGCUCUCCUGGCAGGAUAGACUCUGAUGUGUUCAAAGAGCAGGUCCCCUCCUCACCAACUAAGCAGCUUUGGGUACCAGUGAGGGACUGUUCUCAGAUUAUGUGUUUUUUUUUUGUUUGUUUGUUUGUUUGUUUUGUUUUGUUUUGUUUGUUUUUUUUUUUGUUUGUUUGUUUGUUUGUUUGUUUUUUCUGGUGAUUUUACGUGUACAGAAAGAUCUCUUUCAAGCCUCCAUCAGAAAAGGUGGAAAAGCCCUGCCUGGCUGGGUCACUUGCACCAUGCCAGCGCCCGUCAGGGUGCUGGUACUGCUGGUACCUCCUGCAGAUCUCCAGCUGCAGUCCAGCAUUGCACGGCACAGGGCGGGCAGGAGGGGGAGAAGUACAGGAGAGGAUGAAGCUCCUCUACCACUUCCAUCAUCACAAAGCCUGGGUCAAUCCCCAAAUGGUCCUGUACCUAUAGCCUUGCUUCCUGGGGCAGACGAACUCCUGCUGUGAUCACCUGUGCUGCCUCCAUCUCUUACCGACAGCUGCUUUCGGAGACAAACUCUGUUUCUGCUAAAUCUCUUCUUCCUCUUCGCUGACAGCGUCCUGCAGGUCCUGAGGCCCCUGCUCUGCUCUCUCUUUGACGUAGGCUGCCUUGAUCUGUUCCAGCUCACACAGCUCUGUCUCCAGCUCUUCCCGGUGCAUUGUCCGCCGGUUCCUCAGCAGCUUCAUGGGGAAGGGGUUUAACUCAUUGAAGGCAAUGUUCAUCAGCUUCCUGCAAUGAAGAGAGGCCUGGUGACCACAGUUACUGCCUGAGAUGUUAACAGAUACCCAAGAGUUUUAAGAGAGGGAGGCUUUUCCAGACCAUCUACCUCUGCCGCAGAUUGCACUUGGCUGCCCCAGGAGGCUGCAGAGAGCACAGCCUCGUAUUUCAGCUCUGGGGUCAACAGCCACUGAGCCGCAGAACCACGACUGAAUCACAGGCGCUGCUUCUAGCACAGCACCAGCCCAGGAGUAACUUUUUGGGUACCAGCAUGCAGCAGUCAGCAAGGAGCUGGGCUAUCAGAAGCCAUCUCUGAUGGCCUCUGGAGUAGGAACAGGCUGCUCUGUUCAGCUCGUCUGAUUAAAUAAAUGUUCCUCUCGUGCACGCGUUGUCACCACAGGUUGUGAGCAGCUCUCUGCUCCCAAAAACCCCGACUGCUACACCUGAGAGAAACCCAGCAGGGAACAGAGAAAGUUCCUGCUGCUGGAAAAAGAAGGCCGGCCCAGACUUUGUGGCCUGGUCUGCAGCAGCAUGCCUUCACCCUAGCCCAACAGGCUUUAAGUAACAGCAUGCAGAAAAAGUCAGAAAGAAGGCACGUUGUCAAUGUCCUGGUGACCUGCCAGUGCAUGCAUCUCUCUUAACAGACUGGUCACAACUCCUUUCAGGCUGACCUAAGAGGCAAGCAAGCACAGGCCCAGAGUAAGAGGCUGACUAUACCCCACAGUCCUACCUGCCAUCCACGAUCAUCCUUGUGAAAAAACGCAGGUACUGGUAAAUCUCCACAUUGUCAUGAAUCCUCAGGAUUUCCUCCUCGUUGUAUUUAAAGAUUGCGAGAGCAUAGCGGAAAAUCACCUGGAAGGUUGAAAAGCAUUUCAGUUGACAAAGUCUUAGGCAGCUGAGGGAUCAGCUUAUAACAUGGCUUAAAACACGGGGUGAGGAAGACACCACUGCCGUUCAUGCUGGUUGCUGGGCUCCUGCUGUACUCUACAGGCUGCUUUAGGGUGGGCCUAAAAAAAAGCAGAGCUGAUCUCACAGGAAUGACCCUCUGUUUGCUAAUUUACAACUCCAGAGCACACCUGAUCCUCCAAAAGGACCCCACAAGGAUCUCACAAGGGUUCUCCCAUUCUCCCUACGCACUGGUGCAACACAAGACUCACAUUUUUUCACAAGUGCUAAAUCUCUGCCCGUCUUCUGCUCCCUGUAUCUGUCCCCUCUCAGCUAGGUCUGGGUUGCAGAGUAGAAGACACCGUGGCCUGUCAGAAAACUGUUUCUAGCAUGACUACAUGCUAAAAAACAUGAGGGGCACUACACACAUGGUAUCAGGGACUAGGACUGCCUGCAGGCAGCAACUACACAGAUGGAUGGCAGGGAGGCACCAAGGCACUCCACCAAACAGUCAAGGUAGGACAA